rnacentral:rRNA from 1 species
UAUUGCACAAUGGGGGAAACCCUGAUGCAGCGACGCCGCGUGAGUGAAGAAGCGCCUCGGCGCGUAAAGCUCUGUCAGCAGGCACGACGAUGACGGUACCUGAAGAAGAAGCCCCGGCUAACUACGUGCCAGCAGCCGCGGUAAUACGUAGGGGGCAAGCGUUCUCCGGAUUUACUGGGUGUAAAGGGAGCGUAGACGGCAGCACAAGUCUGGAGUGAAAUGCCGGGGCUUAACCCCGGAACUGCUUUGGAAACUGUGCAGCUAGAGUGCAGGAGAGGUAAGUGGAAUUCCUAGUGUAGCGGUGAAAUGCGUAGAUAUUAGGAGGAACACCAGUGGCGAAGGCGGCUUACUGGACUGUAACUGACGUUGAGGCUCGAAAGCGUGGGGAGCAAACAGG